UACCUGGUUGAUUCUGCCAGUAUUCAUAUGCUUGUCUCAAAGAUUAAGCCAUGCAUGUCUAAGUAUAAGCAACUUUGUACUGUGAAACUGCGAAUGGCUCAUUAAAUCAGUUAUAGUUUAUUUGAUGGUUUUUGCUACAUGGAUAACUGUGGUAAUUCUAGAGCUAAUACAUGCAUUCAAGCCCCGACUUCUGGAAGGGGUGUAUUUAUUAGAUAAAAAUCAACUUUGUUGGUGAAUCAUAAUAACUUCUCGGACCGCAUGGCCUCGUGCUGGCGGUGCUUCAUUCAAAUAUCUGCCCUAUCAACUGUCGAUGGUAGGAUAGAGGCCUACCAUGGUUGCAACGGGUAACGGGGAAUAAGGGUUCGAUUCCGGAGAGGGAGCCUGAGAAACGGCUACCACAUCCAAGGAAGGCAGCAGGCGCGCAAAUUACCCAAUCCCAACACGGGGAGGUAGUGACAAUAUGUAACAAUAUACGGCCUUAUACGUCGUAUAAUUGGAAUGAGUACAAUUUAAAUCCCUUAACGAGGAACAAUUGGAGGGCAAGUCUGGUGCCAGCAGCCGCGGUAAUUCCAGCUCCAAUAGCGUAUAUUAAAGUUGUUGCAGUUAAAAAGCUCGUAGUUGGACCUUGGACCUGGACAGGCGGUCCGCCUCACGGCGAGUACUGUCUUGCUGGGUCUUUCCUCUUGGUGAUCUGUUGUUUCGGCAGCAGGGAACCAGGACCUUUACUUUGAAAAAAUUAGAGUGUUCAAAGCANGCUCGACGCCGGAAUAUAUUAGCAUGGAAUAAAUAAAUAGGACGUGCGGUUCUAUUUUGUUGGUUUUUGGAAUCGCCGUAAUGAUUAAUAGGGACAGUCGGGGGCAUUAGUACUCACAUGCUAGAGGUGAAAUUCUUGGAUUUUGUGAAGACUAACUUCUGCGAAAGCAUUUGCCCAGGGAUUGUUUCAUUNAUCAAGAACGAAAGGUUAGGUAUCGAAAACGAUUAAAUACGUUGUAGUCUAACAGUAAACUAUGCCAACUAGGGAUCGGUCGAAUGUAUCUUUUUGACUCGAUCGGCACUUACAAGAAAUCAAAUUUUUUGGUUCUGGGGGGAAUAUGUCCCCAAGCUAAAACUUAAAAAAUUGACCGGAAGCCCCCCCCGGAAGGGAC
rnacentral:rRNA from 1 species